rnacentral:lncRNA from 10 species
GGAGUACAUGUGCAGGUAAACUGCGUGUCAAAAGGGUUUGGUGUACAGAUUAUUUUGCCACCCAGCAUUGGGAUCUGUACACUUUGAACCAUUGACCUCUGGAGAACCUAAAGGUGUUGAUUCAAUGCCAGGAUAUGCGAAGAUGGACAGUCAGUGAAAGAAAGACAAACCCCUGCUUCUCUACAUUCUCUGAGACUUGCAAAACAUCUCUUAAUAAACAUCUGGUUGCUCAGAUCAUAUAGAGGCCUUACUUUGGUGGACGGCCAUCUACAACAUCACUGCCUGAAAUGAAACACAGAUGUUAACUGUUUAAUUGGACUGGCCUAUUCAUGGGAUUGAAAAGAUUGGUUCAGCUGCUUAUAAGAUGGUCCACCAACUCAAUUUCUGGACUGUAAAUUUCUUGGAGAAGUUUCAGACUGGAUAAUCUUGGGACUCAGAAAGUAAUACCCCAAAAUGAAGGCCUCAGAAUCAGCCUCAAAGAAAAAUUUUUUCCCUGACCUUCCCCUGCCCUCCUAUCUCUAAGUUCCAUUCUCCCCCAAAGCUAGACAUGGAAAUUAGAAUCCUUCUUCCCCAAGGUGGGUUACAGAAAACAGAAUCCCUUUUCCCCAAAGCCAGCCAGAAAACCUAAAAAUAUUUUUCUAACUUUCCCUCUACCUUGCUGUGUGAAAACUGGUCAUAAAAAUUUAUCUGACCUACCUUGUUUGACUGUAGGUCAUAAGACCCUCCCACUCAAGAGAGGUUCAGAUCUACACUCAGAGGAAAAAGUGCGUGUUCAGAGAGGCCAAGAACAAUCUGGACAGACAGGCCUUGCUGGGUUUCCCCACUCAGCAUAUUAGCAUUAGAUCAUACACAUUUUGUUCAAUUAUAUUUCUACAUGGAUGUCCGUAUUUUGUUGAACCGAAGCAUAAAAAUGGACAAUUUUCCCUGUAUGUUUGGGUCUUCAUUCUGAAGACUUCUAUGUGUAUAUAUUAAAUGAAUUUGGAUGCCUUUUCUCCAAUUAAUAUGCCUUUUUUGAGUCAAUUUUUCAAUGAAUCAUCAGAGGGCCAAGGGGAACUUUCCUUUUGGUCCCUAUAGAGUUUAAAUGUGGUAAAAAUCGCAGGUGGAAAUUUUUUAUUUUUGUUUCAUAUGUCAAGCACUAACUAGUCUCUUUUUGUUGUUUAAUUUUGUUUUGUUUUGUUUUGUACUGUUUUGUUUUCUUUGCUACCUAAAAGUCUUUGUCAAACCAAGCAUUAGAAGGUGAUUUCUACAUUUUCUAGGAUACCACAUGUAUCAAACCAUUUUUAAGUUAUCAAAACUGUUAAGAGGAAAUAAGAGGUGAAAUCUCCUUUUAAGCUACCAUUGUAAGUUGUGACCACAACCGAAAACCAAUAUAUCUUAAAGUCCCUUUGGUCAUCAUAGUGUUCUCUGUCCUCUAAUCUCUUUAUUCUCACCACGGGUAGUAUUGGCUAUGGUUUACUUUUUUUCCAAAGAUAAAAAUAUUUAGUUCAAGGCAUCUAUCUUGAGAUGGUAUAAGCAAAGAAGGCUUAAUAUUCAGUGGUCUAGAUUGCUGGUCCCCAGAGAAGAAAUGUGUCUGAAGUCUUCAGUAAUGUUAAUGCAUCUGCCUUGAAGCGAGAAGGCUCACAGAGAAAGGAACUACUGCAAUCACUCCAGAAAAUGCCUCCUUGAAUUUGAAAUCACUUCUGGUCAUCAGUGACCAACAAUAAUAAGCUCAAUUACAGUGUGUGUAGAAUAAAUAGAAACUAAAGUAUCAGCAAAAAGAGAACCAGCCUGUGUCCAGAAUACAGAGUCUACCUUGACUAUAAUGGUUCAUUGUUAAGAAAAAUCCUUGUCAUAUGAUCAAGGAACUCAACAGCGAGCCUAAACCUAAUCUCAGCCAACAUUUUUAACCAAUUAUCAGGAACAAUUUUAAAAAAAACCUAAAACAUGAAUAUGGCAAAGUGAGUAUUUUGACUUCUCUUGCAGGUGUAUGUAUAAAAAAACAAGUAAAGCUACUACAUCAGUGUCCUUUGUUUAAUGACCCCAACUGGCCACAUUCCAUAAUAUAGGGAAGAUAAUGGAUCUCAAAAGGUACAACUAAAGGUAGCUUAAACCAUCAAAUUCACUACUCAAAGUGUAGAAACCUGUCCCAGAUCAUCCAGUUCAAGGUAGAAGAUUACAGGCUUCUAGAGUCUUAUAUACUAGAUGAUGUUACUUGUGAGAGAGACAAAUUACGAAGAUUAUCAGAAACUCUCACCAUGAAAGACUAGAAGAAACUUAAAAGAUUCAAAAUAUACUAAGAAUAAAAUACAAUAAAAAGGCAAAAUUAAUUUUUAAAAACAGAAAAAACUAAUUUCCAAAUAAGAAUUAAAUAAUGAGUUAAAAAUAAGGAAAUACGAGAUGAGAUUUAAGUUGAGAAGUCUCCAUUACAAUAGAAUUUUUAAAACUAAAAACAGGAAUGCAAAAGAGGUAAUGAAUUUUUUAAAAUUUGAGUUUAAAAAUGGAAAACUAAAUGGGAUUAAGGUUUAGAUACAGAAUUAAGGACUUGAAAAGAAAAGUGAAUAAUAGUAAAACAAUAAAAAAGGGAAUGGAAGAUUAUUUUGAAACAAUGAAAAUAAUACGUUAGAAAAUUAGAAAAAUGUGAAAUAAGAAAUUAUGCAAAAUUAACAUAGAAAUAACAUAUUUGAAAUGCUGUUAAUAAUAACCAACACUUCCUGAGUGCUUUCUGUGGAUGAAUUAAAGGUUCUAUUUCUUCUUGUAUAUACUAUAAUUUCUACUCUCUGAAUGUUGUUCUUAAGUAACCUUUGGCUUAUUACCUUUAUUGUUUCCUCAUUUAUAGAACAGGGAUAAUAAUGGUAUCUCCUCAUAUGGCUCUUGUAAGGCUCGAAUGAGUUAAUUCCUAUACAGAGCUUAGAACACUGAGCAGCCCAGAUUCAAGAGGAGGGAAAAUAGAUUCUAUCUCUUAAUGGGGGAAGUGGCAAAGUCACAUUGCAAAAGAGCAGGUGGGAUGGCCAUCUUUGGAAACACAAUCUGCCACAGCAAGAACAUAUAAGAAAUGUAUAGCAGUGGUUACCAGCAGGAGUGGGUGAACAGAGUGUGAGAUGGGUAAGAGGAAGAUAGAGGAAGAAAUAUGUAACUUUUUGUAUACUUAAAAAAAAUUUUUUUUGAGCUAACCUAAAAAACCUGUUUUAAAUAAGCCAUUUUUUAAAAGUACAACAAAUGCUGAUUAAAU